GGAUUAGAUACCCUGGUAGUCCACGCUGUAAACGGUGGGUACUAGGUGUGGGUCACAUUCCACGUGAUCUGUGCCGUAGCUAACGCAUUAAGUACCCCGCCUGGGGAGUACGGCCGCAAGGCUAAAACUCAAAGGAAUUGACGGGGCCCCGCACAAGCGGCGGAGCAUGCGGAUUAAUUCGAUGCAACGCGAAGAACCUUACCUGGGUUUGACAUAUGCCGGAAGCAUGCAGAGAUGUGUGUGCCUUUUUGGCCGGUUUACAGGUGGUGCAUGGCUGUCGUCAGCUCGUGUUG
rnacentral:rRNA from 1 species